UUGACCUCGGAUCAGAUAGGAGUUACCCGCUGAACUUAAGCAUAUCAAUAAGCGGAGGAAAAGAAACCAACCGGGAUUGCCUCAGUAACGGCGAGUGAAGCGGCAUGAGCUCAAAUUUGAAAUCUGGCCUCUUCGGGGUCCGAGUUGUAAUUUGCAGAGGAUGCUUCGGGGGCGGUCCCCAUCUAAGUGCCCUGGAACGGGCCGU
rnacentral:rRNA from 1 species